AUUGAACGCUGGCGGCAGGCCUAACACAUGCAAGUCGAGCGGCAGCGCGGGGCAACCUGGCGGCGAGCGGCGGACGGGUGAGUAACGCGUAGGAAUCUACCCAGUAGCGGGGGAUAGCCCGGGGAAACUCGGAUUAAUACCGCAUACGCCCUAAGGGGGAAAGCAGGGGAUCGUAAGACCUUGCACUAUUGGAAGAGCCUGCGUUGGAUUAGCUAGUUGGUAGGGUAAAGGCCUACCAAGGCGACGAUCCAUAACUGGUCUGAGAGGAUGAUCAGUCACACCGGAACUGAGACACGGUCCGGACUCCUACGGGAGGCAGCAGUGGGGAAUAUUGGACAAUGGGGGCAACCCUGAUCCAGCCAUGCCGCGUGUGUGAAGAAGGCCUUCGGGUUGUAAAGCACUUUAAGUGGGGAAAAAGGCUCGUUGCCUAAUACUCAGCGGGAUUGAUACUACCCACAGAAUAAGCACCGGCUAGCUCUGUGCCAGCAGCCGCGGUAAUA
rnacentral:rRNA from 1 species